rnacentral:rRNA from 1 species
GAUGAACGCUGGCGGCGUGCUUAACACAUGCAAGUCGAGCGAAGCACUUUUGCGGAUUUCUUCGGAUUGAAGCAACUGUGACUGAGCGGCGGACGGGUGAGUAACGCGUGGGUAACCUGCCUCAUACAGGGGGAUAACAGUUGGAAACGGCUGCUAAUACCGCAUAAGCGCACAGUACCGCAUGGUCUGGUGUGAAAAACUGAGGUGGUAUGAGAUGGGCCCGCGUCUGAUUAGGUAGUUGGCGGGGUAACGGCCCACCAAGCCGACGAUCAGUAGCCGACCUGAGAGGGUGACCGGCCACAUUGGGACUGAGACACGGCCCAG